rnacentral:rRNA from 1 species
UGCGUAGGCGGUGCUCUAAGUCGGAUGUGAAAACUCUGGGCUCAACCCAGAGCCUGCAUCCGAAACUGGAGUGCUAGAGUUCUGGAGGGGGUAGCGGAAUUCCUGGUGUAGCGGUGAAAUGCGUAGAUAUCAGGAGAACACCGGUGGCGAAGGCGGCUACCUGGACAGAGUCUGACGCUGAGGCACGAAAGCUAGGGGAGCAAACAGGAUUAGACUACCCUGGUAGUCCUAGCCCUAAACGAUGGAUACUUGCUGUAACUGGGAUUGAAUCCAGUUGUGGCGAAGCUAACGCAUUAAGUAUCCCGCCUGGGGAGUACGGUCGCAAGGCUGAA